rnacentral:rRNA from 1 species
UGCGCAGGCGGUGUGCUAAGUCGGAUGUGAAAUCUCACAGCCUAACUGUGAUAGGUCAUUCGAAACUGGCAUGCUAGAGGACUGGAGAGGAGACUGGAAUGGUCGGUGUAGCGGUGAAAUGCGUAGAGAUCGACCAGAACACCGGUGGCGAAGGCGGGUCUCUGGACAGUUCCUGAGCUCAGGCACGAAGGCCAGGGGAGCAAAC